UCCUUUCUUCUUUUCUUUCUCACCUGGCGCCUUCUCAUCUCUCCCUCUCUUCGCUCUUCUUCUUCCUUCAGUCACGGCCAAACCAGCAACCCCCCCCUAUUCCACACACAACCCGACGCCCUUCCCCUACAUUUCUCCUUCUCUUCUUCCAGUUCCACCACACGAUCUCCCUUUCUCCUCUUCCAUUUUCUCCCUCCCCCUUUAUCACUCGCACACCCGAGACAGUGAUACAAUGUGAGUGAUCGAGUGAGAGCUGGGUUAAGUGCGAAUCUGAGGGUGGAAGGUGGAUCCUUGGCCGUUGAAGGAGUGAUUUUUGGAGCUCGGUGGUCAGGCCACCGUCUGGACGCGUUGACAGCAGCCGAGCCGUGAAUUCCGGCCCUGUUCCGGAUUGUGUCAUCAUUGGAGGCUACAAUGGGUCCUUCAAUGUAGAGUUGGAGUUGUGAGUCCAAUGCAGUCAGAUAGUGUUCCUUUGGUUGCAGGUACUCGGGUCGUUGUUGAUGGGAGUGUAGACGUGCAUUUGAGAUAUUAUGACCGGAGCUCGCCGCAACAGUCAUAAAUGCGGGACCAUGGGUGUUCCCAGUUUUAUAGGUUUUGUUAUGGCUUGUGACGCAUGUGUCACUCGUUAUUGUAUAAAGCCAUUUCUGUUAUGUAUUUAUAUUGAGGAAAGACUUAAACACAUAGAUAUUAAAUGGCUCUUGUUGAUAUUAAUUUA